rnacentral:rRNA from 1 species
AGAGUUUGAUCAUGGCUCAGGAUGAACGCUAGCGGCAGGCCUAAUACAUGCAAGUCGAACGAGAUUAAGAGGCUUGCUUCUUAUGAAAGUGGCGCACGGGUGCGUAACGCGUAUGCAACCUACCUUAAUCAGGGGGAUAGCCCGAAGAAAUUCGGAUUAAGACCGCAUAAAAACACAGGAUAGCAUUAUCCAAUGUUCAAAUAUUUAUAGGAUUAAGAUGGGCAUGCGUGUCAUUAGCUAGUUGGCGGGGUAACGGCCCACCAAGGCGACGAUGACUAGGGGAUCUGAGAGGAUGACCCCCCACACUGGUACUGAGACACGGACCAGACUCCUACGGGAGGCAGCAGUAAGGAAUAUUGGUCAAUGGAGGGAACUCUGAACCAGCCAUGCCGCGUGCAGGAAGACAGCCCUCUGGGUCGUAAACUGCUUUUAUUCGGGAAUAAACCUUUCUACGUGUAGGAAGCUGAAUGUACCGAAGGAAUAAGGAUCGGCUAACUCCGUGCCAGCAGCCGCGGUAAUACGGAGGAUCCAAGCGUUAUCCGGAUUUAUUGGGUUUAAAGGGUGCGUAGGCGGCUUAUUAAGUCAGGGGUGAAAGACGGUGGCUCAACCAUCGCAGUGCCCUUGAUACUGAUGAGCUUGAAUACACUAGAGGUAGGCGGAAUGUGACAAGUAGCGGUGAAAUGCAUAGAUAUGUCACAGAACACCGAUUGCGAAGGCAGCUUACUAUGGUGUUAUUGACGCUGAGGCACGAAAGCGUGGGGAUCAAACAGGAUUAGAUGCCCUGGUAGUCCACGCCCUAAACGAUGAAUACUCGCUGUUAGCGAUAUACAGUUAGCGGCUAAGCGAAAGCGUUAAGUAUUCCACCUGGGGAGUACGCCCGCAAGGGUGAAACUCAAAGGAAUUGACGGGGGCCCGCACAAGCGGAGGAGCAUGUGGUUUAAUUCGAUGAUACGCGAGGAACCUUACCCGGGCUUGAAAGUUAGUGAAUGAUCUAGAGAUAGAUCAGUGAGCAAUCACACGAAACUAGGUGCUGCAUGGCUGUCGUCAGCUCGUGCCGUGAGGUGUUGGGUUAAGUCCCGCAACGAGCGCAACCCCUAUGUUUAGUUGCCAGCACGUUAAGGUGGGGACUCUAAACAGACUGCCUGUGCAAACAGAGAGGAAGGAGGGGACGACGUCAAGUCAUCAUGGCCCUUACGUCCGGGGCUACACACGUGCUACAAUGGAUGGUACAGAGGGCAGCAAGCUGGCAACAGCAAGCGAAUCUCAAAAAGCCAUUCACAGUUCGGAUAGAGGUCUGCAACUCGACCUCUUGAAGUUGGAUUCGCUAGUAAUCGCGUAUCAGCAAUGACGCGGUGAAUACGUUCCCGGGCCUUGUACACACCGCCCGUCAAGCCAUGGAAGUUGGGGGUACCUAAAGUAUGUAACCGUAAGGAGCGUCCUAGGGUAAAACCGAUAACUGGGGCUAAGUCGUAACAAGGUAGCCGU